rnacentral:piRNA from 1 species
GACACUAAUAAAGGGAAAAAAGAC